UACGGGAGGCAGCAGUGGGGAAUAUUGGACAAUGGGCGCAAGCCUGAUCCAGCCAUGCCGCGUGUGUGAAGAAGGCCUUUUGGUUGUAAAGCACUUUAAGCGAGGAGGAGGCUCUCUUAGUUAAUACCUAAGAUGAGUGGACGUUACUCGCAGAAUAAGCACCGGCUAACUCUGUGCCAGCAGCCGCGGUAAUACAGAGGGUGCGAGCGUUAAUCGGAUUUUACUGGGCGUAAAGCGUGCGUAGGCGGCUUUUUUAAGUCGGAUGUGAAAUCCCCGAGCUUAACUUGGGAAUUGCAUUCGAUACUGGGAAGCUAGAGUAUGGGAGAGGAUGGUAGAAUUCCAGGUGUAGCGGUGAAAUGCGUAGAGAUCUGGAGGAAUACCGAUGGGCGAAGGGCAGCCAUCUGGGCCUAAUACUGACGCUGAGGUACGAAAGCAUGGGGAGCAAACAGGGAUUAGAUACC
rnacentral:rRNA from 1 species